rfam:Bacillus sp. VT-16-70 Bacillus_obstructivus_contig196, whole genome shotgun sequence.
AUCCCCUUUAAUACAGUCCUGUGAGGCUGGGAAGGAAACGGAUAGUUGAUUCAAUUGUAAAUUCGUAGACCCUCUCGCCGACAAGGUGAGAGGGUUUUUAAU